rnacentral:tRNA from 1 species
GCGGAUGUGGCGGAAUUGGUAGACGCGCUAGCUUCAGGAGCUAGUGAGCAUUACGCUCGUGGAGGUUCAAGUCCUCUUAUCCGCACCA